rnacentral:rRNA from 1 species
UACGGAGGGGGCUAGCGUUGUUCGGAAUUACUGGGCGUAAAGCGCACGUAGGCGGCUUUCUAAGUCGGAGGUGAAAUCCUGGAGCUCAACUCCAGAACUGCCUUUGAUACUGAAGAUCUUGAGUUCGGGAGAGGUGAGUGGAACUGCGAGUGUAGAGGUGAAAUUCGUAGAUAUUCGCAAGAACACCAGUGGCGAAGGCGGCUCACUGGCCCGAUACUGACGCUGAGGCACGAAAGCGUGGGGAGCAAACAGG